CCUACGGGUGGCAGCAGUGAGGAAUAUUGGUCAAUGGGCUUACGCCUGAACCAGCCAAGUCGCGUGAGGGACGACUGUCCUAUGCGUUGUAAACCUCUUUUGUCAGGGAGCAACGCCGGCUACGUGUACCCGGACUGAGAGUACCUGAAGAAAAAGCAUCGCCUAACUCCGUCCCAGCAGCCCCGUUAAUACGGAGGAUGGGACCGUUACCCGGAUGUAGUGGGUUGAAAGGGUGCGUGGGCGGACUGCAAGGUCAGCGGUAAAGGCGCGGGGCUCAACCUCGCUGCGCCGUUGAAACUGGCGGUCUUGAGUGGGCGAGAGGUAUGCGGAAUGCGUGGUGUAGCGGUGAAAUGCAUAGAUAUAGCGCAGAACUCCGAUUGCGAAGGCAGCAUACCGGCGCCGAACUGACGCUGAAGCACGAAAGCGUGGGUAUCGAACAGGAUUAGAUACCCCGGUAGUC
rnacentral:rRNA from 1 species